rnacentral:rRNA from 1 species
UGCGUAGGCGGGCUAAUAAGUCAGUGGUGAAAUCUCUCGGCUCAACCGGGAAACUGCCAUUGAUACUGUUAGUCUUGAGUUCGGUUGAGGUAGGCGGAAUGUGUAAUGUAGCGGUGAAAUGCUUAGAUAUUACACAGAACACCAAUUGCGUAGGCAGCUUACUAGACCGACACUGACGCUGAGGCACGAGAGCGUGGGGAGCGAACAGGAUUAGAUACCCUGGUAGUCC